rnacentral:rRNA from 1 species
UACGUAGGGACCAAGGGUUGUUCGGAUUUACUGGGCGUAAAGGGCGCGUAGGCGGCAAUUCAAGUCAGUUGUGAAAUCUCCGAGCUUAACUCGGAACGGUCAACUGAUACUGCUUUGCUAGAGUACAGAAGGGGCAAUCGGAAUUCUUGGUGUAGCGGUGAAAUGCGUAGAUAUCAAGAGGAACACCUGAGGUGAAGACGGGUUGCUGGGCUGAUACUGACGCUGAGGCGCGAAAGCUAGGGUAGCAAACGGG